GGAGGUCUGAACAAAGGAUCCGCUUCGGGAAAGACGUAUUCCUGGUCGUAAUGAUGGACCUGAAGCGAGCGAGGCGACCAUCUGUCGGCGCCUGCUGAUUCUCCUCAGAGACAUGAAGGAAGAGGAAGGGGACAAUGCUGUGAAGGCAUGCUGUGAGGGAGAUGUGGGGCGUUCCAGUACCAGCGGGUGACAGUUACUCCCCUGAACCAGCAGAACAAGACCAGCUAAUUCACAUUGACUCCAGGCUGCAACUGCGCUUCCUGUUCAAUAUUUCCUGUCUGUGUGUCCGAAGCCCCUACUGACCACAGCCUUCCCCAGACCCAGGUACUGUACAGCCCAACUGUCUACUGCCUAAUAGGUCUGGAUGCCAUCAACAAGUCAAAACACCAUCUACGCCUGUAAAGAGUCAAGGUCAUUAAUAACUUCUUCAGGAUCGGUGGGUCCCCUGCGGGACUGUUGAGCUAACGUGGGCUAAUGCGAUUAGCAUGAGGUUGUAAGUAACAAGAACAUUUCCCAGAACAUAGACACAGUUGAAGUCGGAAGUUUACAUACA